AGAGUUUGAUCCUGGCUCAGAUUGAACGCUGGCGGAAUGCUUUACACAUGCAAGUCGAACGGUAGAGGGGGCAACCCCUUGAGAGUGGCGAACGGGUGAGUAAUAUAUCGGAACGUGCCCAGUCGUGGGGGAUAACGUAGCGAAAGUUACGCUAAUACCGCAUACGAUCUAAGGAUGAAAGCGGGGGACCCGCAAGAGCCUCGCGCGAUUGGAGCGGCCGAUAUCAGAUUAGGUAGUUGGUGAGGUAAAGGCUCACCAAGCCAACGAUCUGUAGCUGGUCUGAGAGGACGACCAGCCACACUGGAACUGAGACACGGUCCAGACUCCUACGGGAGGCAGCAGUGGGGAAUUUUGGACAAUGGACGCAAGUCUGAUCCAGCCAUUCCGCGUGCAGGAUGAAGGCCCUCGGGUUGUAAACUGCUUUUGUACGGAACGAAAAGGUUUCCAUUAAUACUGGGGGCUCAUGACGGUACCGUAAGAAUAAGCACCGGCUAACUACGUGCCAGCAGCCGCGGUAAUACGUAGGGUGCAAGCGUUAAUCGGAAUUACUGGGCGUAAAGCGUGCGCAGGCGGUUAUGUAAGACAGAGGUGAAAUCCCCGGGCUCAACCUGGGAACUGCCUUUGUGACUGCAUAGCUAGAGUACG
rnacentral:rRNA from 1 species